CAAGUUUUGCUUUUUUCUACGAUGGCCGAUAGAGUACAUCCGCGUGACUCGCCUCCAUCAUCCACUGAGUUCAAGCCGACGACGCCGCUGUUCUCUCCAGAGCACCUACAGUCGCCCAUGAAACCUCCAGCUCCUGCUCCUGAGCAGCCUGUUCCUCCACCACGUGGAACUUACGUCAUCCAAAUCCCAAAGGAUCAGGUCUACCGUGUACCUCCUCCAGAAAAUGCCAAGCGCUAUGCGAAACUCUCUGGCAAGAAGCCACGCCGCAGUGCCUGCUGCUGCUGUUUCUGCUGGUUCCUUGGCAUACUUGUUGCCCUCAUUCUACUUGCUUGCAUAGCCGCUGGUGUCUUAUACCUUGUUUUUCGGCCAGAAGCUCCUAAGUACUCUGUUGAUUCCGUCUCCAUUAAAGGAUUCAAUCUUUCGUCAUCGGAUCCACUCUCGCCGGAGUUUGACGUCACUGUUAAAGCCGAUAACCCAAACGAUAAGAUCGGAAUUGAUUACCGGGCAGGAAGUUCAGUCAAUGUGU
rnacentral:misc_RNA from 1 species